rnacentral:rRNA from 1 species
GAUGAACGCUGGCGGCGUGCCUAAUACAUGCAAGUCGAGCGAACAGAUAAGGAGCUUGCUCCUUUGACGUUAGCGGCGGACGGGUGAGUAACACGUGGGUAACCUACCUAUAAGACUGGAAUAACUCCGGGAAACCGGGGCUAAUGCAGGAUAACAUGUUGAACCGCAUGGUUCUACAGUGAAAGGCGGCUUUGCUGUCACUUAUAGAUGGACCCGCGCCGUAUUAGCUAGUUGGUGAGGUAACGGCUCACCAAGGCAACGAUACGUAGCCGACCUGAGAGGGUGAUCGGCCACACUGGAACUGAGACACGGUCCAGACUCCUACGGGAGGCAGCAGUAGGGAAUCUUCCGCAAUGGGCGAAAGCCUGACGGAGCAACGCCGCGUGAGUGAUGAAGGUCUUCGGAUCGUAAAACUCUGUUAUUAGGGAAGAACAAAUGCGUAAGUAACUGUGCGCGUCUUGACGGUACCUAAGCAGAAAGCCACGGCUAACUACGU